rnacentral:rRNA from 1 species
UACGUAGGGUGCAAGCGUUAAUCGGAAUUACUGGGCGUAAAGCGUGCGCAGGCGGUGAUGUAAGCCAGGUGUGAAAUCCCCGGGCUUAACCUGGGAACUGCAUUUGUGACUGCAUCGCUGGAGUGCGGCAGAGGGGGAUGGAAUUCCGCGUGUAGCAGUGAAAUGCGUAGAUAUGCGGAGGAACACCGAUGGCGAAGGCAAUCCCCUGGGCCUGCACUGACGCUCAUGCGCGAAAGCGUGGGGAGCAAACAGG